rnacentral:rRNA from 1 species
UACGUAGGUGGCAAGCGUUGUCCGGAUUUAUUGGGUUUAAAGGGUGCGUAGGCGGCUUUGUAAGUCAGUGGUGAAAUAUGGCAGCUCAACUGUCAAGGUGCCAUUGAUACUGCAGAGCUUGAGUACAGAUGAGGUAGGCGGAAUUGACGGUGUAGCGGUGAAAUGCUUAGAUAUCGUCAAGAACACCUAUAGCGAAGGCAGCUUACUAGGCUGUAACUGACGCUGAGGCACGAAAGGGUGGGGAGCAAACAGG